rnacentral:rRNA from 1 species
AUGGCAAGCUACUGGUGCCGGCGGCCCUGCGAGUCGUGCAGCACGCGGGCGAUGGCGGGCAGCGUGGUCGGCCAGCCGGUGGCGCCGGGGCAGCGGGUGACGGUGCUGACCAUCGACGGGGGCGGCAUCCGCGGCAUCAUCCCGGGCACCAUCCUCGACUUCCUCGAGGCCAAGCUGCAGGAGCUGGACGGCCCGGGCGCGCGCCUGGCCGACUACUUCGACUGCAUCGCCGGCACCAGCACCGGCGGCCUCAUCACCGCCAUGAUCACCGCGCCCGGCAAGGACGGCCGCCCGCUCUUCGCCGCCAGGGACGUCAACCGCUUCUACCUCGACAACGGGCCCUACAUCUUCCCUCAAAGGAGGUGCGCGCUCGCCGCGGUGACCGCAUCGCUGAGGCGGCCGAGGUACAGCGGCAAGUACCUGCACGGCAAGAUCAGGAGCAUGCUCGGCGAGACGAGGCUGUGCGACGCGCUCACCGACGUCGUCAUCCCCACCUUCGACGUCAAGCUUCUCCAGCCCAUCAUCUUCUCCACAUACGACGCCAAGAGCAUGCCCCUGAAGAACGCGCGGCUCGCCGACAUCUGCAUCGGCACCUCCGCCGCCCCGACCUACCUCCCCGCGCACCACUUCCACACCCACGACGGCAACGGCAAGGAGCGCGAGUACAACCUCAUCGACGGCGGCGUCGCCGCCAACAAUCCGACGAUGGUGGCGAUGACGCAGAUCACCAAGAAGAUGAUGGGCAAGGACAGGGAGGAGCUGUACCCGGUGAAGCCGUCGGACUGCGGCAAGUUCCUGGUGAUGUCCGUCGGCACCGGCUCGACGUCCGACCAGGGGCUGUACACGGCGAAGCAGUGCUCCCAGUGGGGCAUCAUCAGCUGGCUCCGCAACAAGGGCAUGGCGCCCAUCAUCGACAUCUUCAUGGCAGCCAGCUCCGACCUCGUCGACAUCCACGCCGCCGUGCUCUUCCAGUCGCUGCACAGCGACGGCGACUACCUCCGCAUCCAGGACAACUCGCUCCACGGCCCGGCGGCCACGGUGGACGCUGCCACGCCCGAGAACAUGGCGGAGCUCCUCAGGAUCGGCGAGCGGAUGCUGGCGCAGAGGGUGUCCAGGGUGAACGUCGAGACCGGGAGGUACGAGGAGGUAAAGGGGGCCGGGAGCAACGCCGACGCGCUCGCCGGGUUCGCCAGGCAGCUCUCCGACGAGAGGAGGACAAGGCUCGAGCGCCGGCGUGGUGGCGCCGGCCGUCUGAAAUCCAGACGCUGA